GAUGAACGCUAGCUACAGGCUUAACACAUGCAAGUCGAGGGGGAACGAUAUUGGAAGCUUGCUUCCGAUAGGCGUCGACCGGCGCACGGGUGAGUAACGCGUAUCCAACCUGCCCACCACUUGGGGAUAACCUUGCGAAAGUAAGACUAAUACCCAAUGAUAUCUCUAGAAGACAUCUGAAGGAGAUUAAAGAUUUAUCGGUGAUGGAUGGGGAUGCGUCUGAUUAGCUUGUUGGCGGGGUAACGGCCCACCAAGGCGACGAUCAGUAGGGGUUCUGAGAGGAAGGUCCCCCACAUUGGAACUGAGACACGGUCCAGACUCCUACGGGAGGAAGAAGUGAGGAAUAUUGGUCAAUGGACGAGAGUCUGAACCAGCCAAGUAGCGUGCAGGAUGACGGCCCUAUGGGUUGUAAACUGCUUUUAUAAGGGAAUAAAGUGAGCCUCGUGAGGCUUUUUGCAUGUACCUUAUGAAUAAGGACCGGCUAAUUCCGUGCCAGCCGCCGCGGUAA
rnacentral:rRNA from 1 species